UACGUAGGGUGCGAGCGUUAAUCGGAAUUACUGGGCGUAAAGCGUGCGCAGGCGGUUUUGUAAGCCAGAUGUGAAAUCCCCGGGCUUAACCUGGGAAUGGCAUUUGGGACUGCAAGGCUGGAGUGUGGCAGAGGAGACUGGAAUUCCUGGUGUAGCAGUGAAAUGCGUAGAUAUCGGGAAGAACACCUGUGGCGAAGGCGGCUUCCUGGCCCGCAACUGACGCUGAGGCGCGAAAGCUAGGGGAGCAAACAGG
rnacentral:rRNA from 1 species